rnacentral:rRNA from 1 species
AUGGUACAGUUCCCCACAUCUUCUGAUGAUAUGGGGGAAGUGAUUCCUACUCCUCCUCUUAUUCCAGAAGCUGGUCUAAGACUUAGUGUGAGGACUAUGCAGAAUAUGGAGGCCAAGGUGCAGGAUAAAGCUACUGCUAUCUCCAAAAAAAGAAAUCUGGAAGGUAAUGAGCCGACCCAUAACUCUUUUAAAGUUUUGUCUAAUCAUGAGAUGAUGCUUAGAGCAACUAAAAUGGGAGUUUUGAUCCCUGAUAAUAAUUUUUCUAGUAUUGAUAUCUUAAGAGAGUUGGAUAGAAUAAGAAGCGAGGGGGAAAAACAGAUACUAUAUCUGAAAAAGGUGUAG